rnacentral:rRNA from 1 species
UACGUAGGUGGCAAGCGUUGUCCGGAAUUAUUGGGCGUAAAGCGCGCGCAGGCGGUCUUUUAAGUCUGAUGUGAAAGCCCACGGCUCAACCGUGGAGGGUCAUUGGAAACUGGGAGACUUGAGUGCAGAAGAGAAGAGUGGAAUUCCACGUGUAGCGGUGAAAUGCGUAGAGAUGUGGAGGAACACCAGUGGCGAAGGCGGCUACCUGGACCAGCACUGACACUGAGGCACGAAAGCGUGGGGAGCAAACAGG